CACAGUGAAGCAGAAAUACAAGCUGAAAGGCCUCGUUCAGUCAUCAGAGUCAACCUUGGAAUUGCUUUUCCUCGGUGGCAUCAGCUGAAGUUCACCACGAGGAUGAAAGAUAACACGGAGUUAGCCUGUUUUCUGUUGGACCUGAUCAGUUGAGCAUUGGAAAAAAACACACACAGAUGAAAAACAAUGGUCUGAUGACGGGGAAAUGAGCCUGACACCCCCGUGGUAAAGUGAGGAUAGAAGUGCUGAGAUGUACAGCGUUAUUACUCAUUUCCAAAUACAGGAUCUUUACCAGAAAUGAGCCCUGUCUCUCUACAGACGGGGUCCCUGCACUGCCGCACAUGUGACUCCUCGGAUUCAGCCCACUUCUCAAAAAAUUCCAUCUCCCAUUCUUGUUGUUUCUAAUUGUCAUUGUUUUUAAAUCACAGCAGGACAUUUUUUUGCCCAUUUUUGAACAAUACUUCUGUGAACAGUGCAAUCCUUACUUCCUGCUCUCAACGAAGGCGGACGCUUUUUCCUCUGCUCCCUCCCUGCCCUUAUCUGCCCCUGCUUGCUGCUCUCUUGUCUUGUGCUGCGUCUGUCUGAACUAUCCGGAGCCUCUCUCUGCAUUUCUCUCCGAAACCUAAAAGCAUGGAUCUGAUCAACUGGUCUCUCAACGCAAUUGAUAGUAUUUUCUCGACGAGAAGAACGGGUCAGGGAGAGCCCUCUUGCCCUGAUGGAAUGUUUGCAGCCGGAUACACGAUGGACUCCUGGAAGGAGUGGAUGGUCGUGUGCCUGUCGAUCCUUUCCGUUGAGGAUGUUGAAGACGUUUACUUGAUUGGAAUUAUGAUAACAGGCUUUCUGCUGUUUGGAGCUGGCAGCAUCCUGAUUUAUCGCAAAAUGCCGAAGGCGUUGGCAGCACUAAUUGGGAAGCUGCCCGCCAUUGAGGGAACGGGCAGGGCUGUCAACACUCAGACUCAAGCGAUUUGUGAGCUCAAUCGCAAACUGGAUGCGAUUGGAUCGCAAAUUCGCAUGACGGAUACCAACUUGGAGAAGUUGUCGGUUCGGCUCACUGAAAUGGGCCACUAAUUCGGAUGAUUGGAACAACGCUGAGAGAACCACAGGACUAAAGGUAGACGAAAAAUGCAGAAGUCUGCCUGAACCCAAAACAAUCCUUAUCCUCAUUGGCUCCCCCACAUCGGCCUUGGAAGGCUGAUAUCUCUCCACUCUCCUGGAUUGUUAUGCAGCCAGAUGCUCGGCCCUACCCCCACCUCCCUGCUCCUAUGGAACUUUGUCUCUGGAUCAGGACUCUUCGAGGUCAUCUCCACGGCAACGGCCGUGUCCUCGUCAUCAGUAUCAGACGGCAGAGACAAUGUUGAGACUGUGGUGGAGAUGAAGUCCAUGGACUUACACACACACGCACAUGAAGAUAACACACACACCACCUCCUACUCAACGCCUUCUUGGCUCCCACCCCCCUCCCUCCCCCGUUACAGUGCAGUCUGCUGAGGGUUGAUGCGCUGCGCCUGAGCGGCUGCGCGCUCCCCCCAGUGUCUGUGCUGCGACACUUCCCCUCCCCGACACCCUACCCCCUACCACACGUGCAAGUCUUCGAGUUUUUGUUGUAAUGUUUGUAAUGUUUGUAAUGUUUUUAUGAUGUUGCUAUGUGCUGAGGUUUUUUCUUCGUUUCAAUGAAACGAGUGCCCUCUCGUUUCAUUGAAAGGACUGUUUUUCUUCCUCCUCCUUCCUCCUGUUCUCUCAUUUCUCAUCUAAUAAGUUGGCGCCGCAGAUGGCUGCCUCGGUGUGUUGACCAAAGCAAAUUCCUCGUAUGUGUAAAUGUACUUGGCAAUAAAUUCGAUUCUGAUUCUGA